rnacentral:rRNA from 1 species
GACGGAGGAUGCAAGCGUUAUCCGGAAUGAUUGGGCGUAAAGCGUCCGCAGGUGGCAGUUCAAGUCUGCUGUCAAGGACCGGGGCUUAACUUCGGAAAGGCAGUGGAAACUGAACAGCUAGAGUAUGGUAGGGGCAGAGGGAAUUCCUGGUGUAGCGGUGAAAUGCGUAGAGAUCAGGAAGAACAUCGGUGGCGAAGGCGCUCUGCUGGACCAUAACUGACACUCAGGGACGAAAGCUAGGGGAGCGAAUGGG